AUGUCUCACAUCUGCAUAUGGAACUACAGCACAUAGUAGUUAAAAUCUACAGAGCCCCAUUAAAGCAUGUAUGUACAUGUAUCUGUAUAUGAGACAUGUCCUUGGUGCGAGACGUCUCCUGAAGACACAAAAACACUUGGAUUCACUUACACUGAAGAGGUCAUGGGAGUUUACUGACCACUAAAUACUUUACCCCCCCUACACACACACACACACACACACACACACACACACACACACACACACACACACACACACACACACACACACUCUCCGAGUGUCCUGACUGCUAAAUACUUUACCCACCUGGCCACCCGCGGCGCUGCUAGUUAAAAGCUUUCCGAUUGGAUGUCCACGUAUCGGGUUUCGCUUUAAAGAGCCUGCGGGAAGCCGAGCCGCUCGCCACCGGCGGGAAAACAUCACGCUUCCAUUCCGGGAAAAGUGUUGGAGAUUGAGCCGCUGACCGGCAGCGGAGGCGGAUGGGUGGAUGCGGGCGGAGGCAGAGAGAGUGCAGGAACUCUUGUAAUGAGUUUACGUGGCUCCGCCCCCUCCGCCCCCCCGUCGUGUUUCAUCUCUUCCUCCCGGCCUGUUUUUGUUUUCCCUUCUCUCAACCUUCUUUCUAUCGCUCUUCUCUUCCCCUCUCCAUCAAUCUCUCACCAAAAACUCUUCCCUUCCCUCCCUUCUCCCCCGCCUCCGUCACCCUCCUCCCUCCCUCCACCAUCACCCUGCCUCCCCUCUUCAAUCCAUUCAUCCCUCCAUCCGUCCGUAGUAAUGUGUCUCUAAAUGAGUUACCCGUGGCAACAAAGUGGAUCCCAUCGCCGUAGCGAUGACAUCAUCCAGUCGAUAUUAUGGGCGGGUGUGAGGGAGGGAGACGGGUCCCUGUGCUUUUUGGUUCUGUCCCGACGACCCGGGAUGCUUCUUUUAUUUGGUGCUGCUGUGGAAAACACACUGACUGAUGAGCAGCUCACACAGCACAACAGGCAAACUGGCCCUUUAAGGUAUUUUUAUGAUUUUUUUUGAUCCGGGACCAUCAAAGACUCUUUUAAAAGGACUCUCAGCUCCGUUUCAGCAUCAGAUCAAUCUCUCGUUAGCAAUUUCUGAAGUGCCGAAUCAGCCAUUUAGAGAGAAAAGUUGGCAGAGGGAUUUGCAUUCACAUCGAUCUCUAUUUGCUUCAUUCGACUCUCAGCAGAAGCUGGCUGGCGGGAAGCUGAAUGAAAUGAGGGCUGCGGGUCACUACAGGUAUCAGAGUUGUAUGUGUGCGGAACAGGAAUACUAAUAAUACUCAGAUCAGGACAUUACAGGCAAUCACAGUGAUGUUUACUCACCCGCGGGACAACGGAGGAAUUCAUUUCUCUGCUUUCAUUUUCCCAUCAAACCACACAGUCGUCUCGGGGCUGUGUGGCUUCUGUGUGUGUUUGUGCGUGUGUUUACCGGGUUUUGUAUAGUGAUGAUUUGUAACAAUGAACCAAACUUAAACAGGGAUUGAAGUUAAUCCACUUCCUCUCUGUCUCCUUGCAGUGUGCUUUAUGCUGCUGCUGCGUCUUUCACGUGAAGAAACAUCUGUGGCGACAACUGAAAUAUGAAAAGACAAAAUGAUUCAAAAAAUAAAAUAAAAUUAUAGAAACUGGCGUGAAAUAAAAUAAUAUAAUAAUGUAAAAUGCAACCAUCUCGGAGCCUUCUAUUGUUUAUUCAGAUCCCUGUGGUUACCACGGCAACAGCCUCCAUAUUGUGGUCCAAGUGGAGUCUGUGGUUUUCACCUGUGACUCGAGUCCAAGUCUGCAGCUGUAUUUCCCCCAUUAAGAAAGACUUCAGAAUUACCCCAAUGCGUGAAGAGGAGACCUGUAAGCAUCCCCUGUGUGUGUGUGUGUGUGUGUGUGUGUCUGUGAGUGUGCGCACUGCGUGUCCUCCUCAGAAGAACCCCCACCUGGUACCAACCACACAGCUCCAAGCACGAGUUCCAUGAAAUCACUUUCCUUCUCCCGCCGACAAUUUAACACACACACACACACACACACACACACACACACACACACACACACACACACACACACGCGCGGGCCCGUUACAACCUUAAUCUCAUUCAUUUAUUUCUCAUCAGCGAGUGACGGGAAGAGAAGCAGUUGCGUCACAUUAGCGCGCUCGGCUUCCAGGAAGCUCCGUUAAAAAGGACGUUCACUUUCUUUUUUUUUUCUUUUUUUUUCACCUCCGCUGCCUCUAUUUACCCAUAAGUCUUUGUAAUCUGUUUAGAGGGCUUAUGGGGGCUUCAGAAAGUGCUCUUUCCCUCAGAGCGCGGCUCGUUUAUCAAGCGAGAUUAAGAAAAGGCCCGGAAAGCGUUUCGGAUACGUGCUAUUAGACGCCUCUCGGCUGCAAAUGAAACCGUACCCAGUCGCGUGUUAUCGAGCAGCAACGCACAAACACGCAACAGUUUGCCUCCACUCGUUGCCGCUGUCCCUCCACAGUGGUUAAUGGCCUGACGUUCGUAAAUCACCUUGUUUAAGGCUUGAGCACUGACACACGUUGGGGAACAGGACACUGUGUGAAAAAGCACAUGAACUCAUUUUUAAAUCUACCAUCUGCGCCCCCCCACAAACAAAGGCUCCAACAGGAGAUAAAACACACCUUCUGUGAGAAUCCAUUUGCUUUAAAAAAAACACGACUUAUUUGGGAUUAUUUUGAAUGCCUAACCCAUGAAAACACACGGCGCGUUAAAGGCUCAACCACCACUUUUAUACACGUGUAAAUAAAUAUACACGUGUUUAAAAGCCACAACGACAGCGUGGAUGUGUGGAGCCACUAAGAAGAAAGAAAGGAGCUCACAUCUGAGCCGCAUGUCCUUGGGGGGGGGGACCCACAUGUGCACACGUUCAUGGACACACUUCAACGGCUUCCUAUUAAACCCCCCCGGACUCAACCCCUGAAUAAUGAAAAGGCUAUUUUGAGUGUGAAACAGCCGCAGUGAGUGUGUGUCUGUGUGUGCACGCUCCGAUAUUUGCAUCAUGAGAAACAAAUGUCCACAGGAGAAUGUGACAUUUUACCGUGCUGCACAUCUGCAACAGCUGGUCGGGGGUUAGGAAACAGGAAAUGAGUGUGUACUGUGAAGUGUGCAUGAAAUCUUAUUGAUGCACUCCUCACCCGGACCUGACCUCUCACACACACAGACACACACACACACACACACACACACACACACCUCUGUCACCGCCGCGCGCUUCCCUUCCUGUUUUGUUCCCAUUUGUUUGUUCCUUUGAAUCGUUCCUGCAGUGACUUCUCUCAGCUAACCGCGCAGUCAAUCUCGCGCUUGUUCACAGACUCAAUCCUCCGCGGUGUCUGCAAAUUAGCAUUUGUCCCGUCCCUUGUCACAACAAAUAUAUUAUGGGUUGUUUUGCUCACAUUUGACAGCGGCUCAUCAGUGAGCUCGUGUGUCCGGUGGGACCCAGUUGACUCAGUCAAAGGGCGUCCUCGCCCUCUUUUGGGGUAAAGACUCGCCUAUUUUUUUCAUCUCUGCCUCAUUCUUUUCAGUGGGUUACGAAGUUUGCGAGAUAUUAUCUGUUCCUUCAAACCAUUUGUGUUUAACUUUAGAAAAUUGCUGUGCAGAAUUGGAGGUCGGUAACCUUUGACCUUUAAAUGCUUGUUCCCUGACACCAUGUAGGGCCCAUUUAAUUGCUUUCUUCUUCUUAUUCGUUUAAUGAUUUGUAACGUGUGUUGUGUGGCUGAGGAGCAGAUAAUAGGAAGCAGUCACCUUUCGGAGCUUUCUGACAUAACUUUGGUAUCUGGAGUUCUAACUGCGUAAUGAGAUGAAGACGUUUCAUCCAAUCUGCACACACGUAGACACGUUCACCAGCGUUGUGCCACAUAAUCCAUCAGUGAUUCAUGUGAAUGUCUGGAGAGGAACAUCUGUUUUUUUUGUACAUUACAAAAACGUGAUGCCUUCAUACAGUUUUCUGGAGAUAUAAACUUGGUUCUGUCUCCUUGUGAAAAGAUGGCCUUAUUUAUCAUUCUGUCAUAUUUAACAAAGCGCUUUUGUCUGUACUCUCCUCCUUUUUUGCUUCGUGAAAAGGAUCACAUCCCUCUGUCGGCAUGCGCGGCUUCACUCAAGCGUGUCUCUUUGUGAAUUUUAGCAUUUUAAUCCACACUUAUCGUGCAGUUCGCGGGUUUCACUGAGUCAGUUUUAAUCUCUUUAAUUCUGUGAGUAAACAACUCUUCAGGUCAAAGUGGCCGUCUGUUUACACAGAGAGGUUUGAAGCGGGUUAUCCCACAUGCACGCAUCAUCCCACGUGCACACGCGUACACAGAUAACAGGCAUAAUUCCGCAGGCGUUCGCACUUGUGUGCCCUCGCUGGCUGCUUCGGAACUAAGAGCAAACAAACAGCGCGUCCGGCAGAGGCUUUUAUUGUGGCGGGACGUUGACUCAGAGGGCAGAAUUCUUUCCGGACAGUAA
ensembl:lncRNA